AACGAACGCUGGCGGCAUGCCUAACACAUGCAAGUCGAACGAGACCUUCGGGGCUAGUGGCGCACGGGUGCGUAACGCGUGGGAACCUGCCCUUAGGUUCGGAAUAACUCCCCGAAAGGGGUGCUAAUACCGGAUAAUGUCUUCGGACCAAAGAUUUAUCGCCUUUGGAUGGGCCCGCGUUGGAUUAGCUAGUUGGUAGGGUAAAAGCCUACCAAGGCGAAGAUCCAUAGCUGGUCUGAGAGGAUGAUCAGCCACACUGGGACUGAGACACGGCCCAGACUCCUACGGGAGGCAGCAGUGGGGAAUAUUGGACAAUGGGGGAAAGUCUGAGCCAGCAAUGCCGCGUGAGUGAUGAAGGCCUUAGGGUUGUAAAGCUCUUUUACCCGGGAUGAUAAUGACAGUACCGGGAGAAUAAGCUCCGGCUAACUCCGUG
rnacentral:rRNA from 1 species